rnacentral:rRNA from 1 species
AUUGAACGCUGGCGGCAGGCCUAACACAUGCAAGUCGAACGAGUGGCGGACGGGUGAGUAAUGUCUGGGAAACUGCCCGAUGGAGGGGGAUAACUACUGGAAACAGUAGCUAAUACCGCAUACCAUCGGAUGUGCCCAGAUGGGAGUAGCUAGUAGGGGGGGUAACGGCUCACCUAGUCGACGAUCCCUAGCUGGUCUGAGAGGAUGACCAUCAACACUGGUACUGAUGGACGGUCCAGACGCCUACGGGAGGCAGCAGGGGGGAAUAUUGCACAACGGGCGCAGGCCUGAUGCAGCCAUGCCGCGUGUAUGAAGAAGGCCUUCGGGUUGUAAAGUACUUUCAGCGAGGAGGCGUUACUCGCAGAAGAAGCACCGGCUAACUCCGUGCCAGCAGCCGCGGUAAUAC